GAUGAACGCUGGCGGCGUGCCUAAUACAUGCAAGUCGAGCGAAUGGAUUAAGAGCUUGCUCUUAUGAAGUUAGCGGCGGACGGGUGAGUAACACGUGGGUAACCUACCCAUAAGACUGGGAUAACUCCGGGAAACCGGGGCUAAUACCGGAUAAUAUUUUGAACUGCAUAGUUCGAAAUUGAAAGGCGGCUUCGGCUGUCACUUAUGGAUGGACCCGCGUCGCAUUAGCUAGUUGGUGAGGUAACGGCUCACCAAGGCGACGAUGCGUAGCCGACCUGAGAGGGUGAUCGGCCACACUGGGACUGAGACACGGCCCAGACUCCUACGGGAGGCAGCAGUAGGGAAUCUUCCGCAAUGGACGAAAGUCUGACGGAGCAACGCCGCGUGAGUGAUGAAGGCUUUCGGGUCGUAAAACUCUGUUGUUAGGGAAGAACAAGUGCUAGUUGAAUAAGCUGGCACCUGA
rnacentral:rRNA from 2 species